GUGCUUGCUUCAGCAGCACAUAUAGUAAAUUGGAAAGAUACAGAGAAGAUUAGCAUGGCCCCUGCACAAGGAUGACAUGCAAACUCAUGAAGCAUUCCAUAUUUUU